UUUCUUUUAAUGAUUAGCUCUUUAUCAGCUAUAAACAUUGUGAAGUUAUUGUCAAUUUGGAUUAUCUUUUACACGGGAGGAACAAAAUAAUCUUCAUAGAAUCUUAUGCUUUAACUUGGAUAUUUGGAUCUCUUAGUUGUCCACUUUUUUGGAAUUGAAUGGUCUUUACAGAGGUUUAUGCAGCAUCUAAAUGGAGAUACGGUCCCUGAGUUGCAAGAGUACUGUAGUUUAGUUUUUUGGGUCCAAUGUUGCCUUUGAAGUCCUGUUUAUUCUCUUUUCAUUUGCUUCCAUGUGGACUUCCUUUUCCAUGUUCCAGUUUCUAUUCUGAAAGGUGGUGAGGGAGCUAUCUUUUAAGCAGUCAGUUAUAUUGAUUCCUAUGAAAUUGGGAGCUCUUUUCCUUUUUUUUUCUUUGAUGUGAUUAGUUUUCUUGAAAGCUGCUUAUCAUUUGAAGUUUUAACAAUUUAAUUGAAAGAUGCAGGGGACGUAUGUUGAAGGAAUCAAGGAGGAAGUUGUUCUGUCCCCUGCUCAUGCACUUUCCUUAAUAGCAUCUGGGGAAGAGCAUAGACAUGUGGGUUCCAACAACUUUAAUUUACUGAGCAGUCGGAGCCAUACAAUAUUUACUUUGACAAUUGAAAGCAGUUCACGAGGAGGCAAUCAAGGGGAAGAAGUAGCUCUGUCGCAGCUGCAUCUGAUUGAUUUGGCAGGCUCUGAAAGUUCCAAGACUGAGACAACUGGGUUAAGAAGGAAAGAAGGUUCAUUCAUAAACAAGAGCUUACUCACUCUUGGCACUGUUAUAUCUAAACUAACAGAUGAAAAAUCUACUCAUAUCCCAUAUCGAGAUUCAAAGCUUACACGUCUGUUGCAGUCAUCACUCAGUGGACAUGGUCUAGUUUCCCUCAUUUGCACGGUAACACCAGCCUCCAGCAACACAGAGGAGACACACAACACCUUGAAAUUUGCUCAUCGAACUAAGCAUGUGGAAAUAAAAGCAUCACAGAAUAAGAUUAUAGAUGAGAAGUCUCUCAUCAAAAAGUAUCAGAGAGAAAUAUCCUGUUUGAAACAAGAGCUUGAUCUUCUGAAGCGUGGCAUUAUGGAAAAUCAGAAAGUGGGACCCAGUGAAGAUGAUCUGGUUAAUCUGAAGCUCCAGUUAGAGGCUGGGCAGGUGAAGUUACAAUCACGAUUGGAAGAGGAGGAACAAGCGAAAGCAGCAUUGAUGGGAAGGAUACAAAGAUUAACUAAACUAAUCUUAGUUUCUACAAAAAGUACAAUGCAACCUGAUAUCCAUGAAAAGCCUGGCCAUAGACGCAGACAUUCUUUCGGAGAAGAUGAGCUGGCUUACUUACCGGAUAGAAAACGAGAAUACAUGAUAGAUGAGGAUGCUGGAAGCAUUGACUCUGAACUAUCAGCCGAUGGAAGAGAGGGUGUCACAAACCUUGAUGAAUUGGUCAAAGAUUUUAGAAGAAACAGAAGGAGAGGGAUGCUUGGCUGGUUCAAGUUAAAAAAGCCCGAAAAUCUGAUUGGAUCAUCACCAAGUGCUGAUUAUGAAAGCUCUGCAAGUGGUUCACCUGCAUUCUCGUUGAAGUCAUUGCAAAGUAGAGUCACAUUCAGUGAUAUGAAGGAAGGGCGGAGAAGAUCUGUUAAUAAGCGAGGGGAUGAUGUUCAAGCGGUAGACUUUGUCCCAGAUAGAACCCAAGCAGGUGAUUUGUUCAGUGCAGCUACUGGAGGUCGACUUCCACCAACUGGGACCACUGUAACUGAUCAAAUGGAUCUUCUUCACGAGCAAGUGAAGAUGCUAGCUGGUGAGGUUGCAUUAUGUGUUAGUUCUCUUAAACGAGUAUCAGAGCAAUCAGUCAAGAAUCCUGAGAACUUGCAGCUUCAGGAGCAAAUGCGAAACUUAAAGGAUGAAAUCAGAGAGAAAAAAUUUCAGAUGCGUCGCCUGGAGCAACACAUGGUUGGAUCAGUAGAAAUGACACAUCAGGGUUCACUCAAUAUUGAGAUUUCUCAGGCAUUGUCCAAGCUAGCUGCUCAGCUAAAUGAAAAGACCUUCGAGCUGGAGAUUAAAUCUGCAGACAACAGAGUACUGCAAGAGCAACUAAACGUGAAGAUGUCCGAGAAUUCUGAGAUGCAAGAAACUAUCCUUCUGCUGAGGCAACAACUUGAUUCCUUAUUAUCAGAAAAAAGUUCUGCGUGCCAGCAACAGGAUGCAGAUCAUGACGCUGCCACACUAGCAGUGUAUUCGGAUGAAUAUACAGAAGCUAAACUCGAAAGGGAAGCUGGGGUUUGUUCAUAUGAAGAAAGAACUCCGAAUGAAAGUACUCAAACUAGUAUUAUGAGAUCAAAUGAAAGACUUGUGCACGAAGUCCCCAAUGAAUGCAGUAUUGAUGCAUUCUUGAACUCUCAGCUUCUUUCACAGGCUGCUGAGAUAGAGUCCCUGAAACAAGAGAAGGAGCAAAUUGUCGAGGAGAAGGAAGGGUUAGAAAUUCACCAUCAAAAGCUAGCUGAGGAAGCUUCUUAUGCAAAAGAGCUGGCAGCAGCAGCAGCAGUUGAGCUCCGAAACUUAGCUGAAGAGGUAACAAAGCUCUCUUACCUCAAUGCCAAACUCGCUGCUGAAAAAGAUGCCCCUUGCAAAAAUAACUGCUGUAGGAGAUCUGCUUCAUUUGAUAUGAAGCAAGAUGGUGAUGGUGGAGGUCGACCUGAUGCCCAUGUUAGGAAGACAGAAGAUUUCUUAUCGGUGGAUGAGUUGGAGCAAGAGCUGAAUGCACGACAUCAAAGAGAGGCUUCUUUGGUUGCUGCAUUGUAUGAGAGAGAUAAAAUAGAAAGUGAACUACGAAAACAACUUGAUGAAGCAAAGAGGCGAAAAGAAGAUAUGGAGAAUGAGCUUGCCAAUAUGUGGAUACUUGUUGCAAAGAUGAGGAAAUCUGGUCCUAUUCCUGAGACUGUCUCAUUUGAGGGGUCUGAUGUGUCUAAUAUCUUGGAAGCAAAAUUAAGAAAUGACAUUUCCUUGUCCAAUGGUCAUUUGGAGAAAAAAUUUAAUAAUAGUGAGACAUUUGAAAACAUUCCUGCUGCGGAUGCAUUGGAACAAUUGAAGCAUCGUUACCAUAAGGAAAGGAAAAGGUGCAAGGAACUAGAUGAUUUAGUUUCAAGAUUAAAGGGUGAUGAUUUGGGUGGCUUGGAUAUUAAUGCACUCGAAGAGCUGCAAAGCCUUCACGUUGAGGCCAUUACCAAGAUUUGUCGUGCAAAGAUUUGCAGUGUAGCUAGGAGCUGAUUCGCUCAUUACUCUAGGAUGGUUUCAGCUGGAGCCUUGACUGUUGAAAUGCAGAAAACAUUGAUUAUGUGUUUUCCAUGUCCACCACAGGGUCUGGUCGCAUUGAGCAAAAGUCUACGGCUGUUCAUUAGAUUUAUUACCUUCUGGAACUUGGCCAGCUGAUCCAUCAUCUUUCCGGGAUAUCAGAGUCAUUGAAGCUACAGCUGCUUCAGAUACGGGUGUGGAUCAGUUGGUAUCUCGUAUAAGGUUGUCGAGACAAUUAGUAUUUUCUUCUCAGCAUAUUCAAAUGUCCUUCCAUAAGUGCAUAGGCUUACCUCUUGUUUUUCCCUCUGGAUCAGGAAGAGAUGUGCUUAAUCGAUGUUCUAUAGCAUUUUGCUUGGAGUUCCUUGACCCCCCGGACAUCUAAGGUAUAAGCCAAGUGUCAACUGGUCAACUCAUCGUUUAUUGCCAAAACUUCAUACAACCAGCAAUCACAAUGGGGGACCAAAGUGUAUAGCUAACUGUAAUACUCAAAGCCAGGAGAGGAUUCGUUGAUUAGACCUGUACCAUUAUUUGUAUUUGGGAUACACCUUAUAUCCUUAGUGUAGUCAUAGAGAACAUUUCAGUAAAACAUCUGUACUCCCAAUGACUGACCAAUUACAUUUGUUACUCUACAACAUGUACAGAAUAUGGCUCGAAGCACGCAUUAGCUUCUCACUUUGUCACCUUA